UACGAAGGGGGCUAGCGUUGUUCGGAAUCACUGGGCGUAAAGCGCACGUAGGCGGAUUGUUAAGUCGGGGGUGAAAUCCUGGGGCUCAACCUCAGAACUGCCUUCGAUACUGGCAAUCUCGAGUCCGGAAGAGGUUGGUGGAACAGCUAGUGUAGAGGUGAAAUUCGUAGAUAUUAGCUAGAACACCAGUGGCGAAGGCGGCCAACUGGUCCGGUACUGACGCUGAGGUGCGAAAGCGUGGGGAGCAAACAGG
rnacentral:rRNA from 1 species